AUGCACGCUGGCGGCGUGCCUAAUCCAUGCAAGUCGAGCGAACAGACGAGGAGCUUGCUCCUCUGACGUUAGCGGCGGACGGGUGAGUAACACGUGGAUAACCUACCUAUAAGACUGGGAUAACUUCGGGAAACCGGAGCUAAUACCGGAUAAUAUAUUGAACCGCAUGGUUCAAUAGUGAAAGACGGUUUUGCUGUCACUUAUAGAUGGAUCCGCGCCGCAUUAGCUAGUUGGUAAGGUAACGGCUUACCAAGGCAACGAUGCGUAGCCGACCUGAGAGGGUGAACGGCCACACUGGAACUGAGACACGGUCCAGACUCCUACGGGAGGCAGCAGUAGGGAAUCUUCCGCAAUGGGCGAAAGCCUGACGGAGCAACGCCGCGUGAGUGAUGAAGGUCUUCGGAUCUUAAAACUCUGUUAUUAGGGAAGAACAAAUGUGUAAGUAACUAUGCACGUCUUGACGGUACCUAAUCAGAAAGCCACGGCUAACUACGUG
rnacentral:rRNA from 1 species